AGUGAACGCUGGCGGUAGGCCUAACACAUGCAAGUCGAACGGCAGCACAGUAAGAGCUUGCUCUUACGGGUGGCGAGUGGCGGACGGGUGGGGAAUACAUCGGAAUCUACUUUUUCGUGGGGGAUAACGUAGGGAAACUUACGCUAAUACCGCAUACGACCUACGGGUGAAAGCAGGGGAUCUUCGGACCUUGCGCGAUUGAAUGAGCCGAUGUCGGAUUAGCUAGUUGGCGGGGUAAAGGCCCACCAAGGCGACGAUCCGUAGCUGGUCUGAGAGGAUGAUCAGCCACACUGGAACUGAGACACGGUCCACACUCCUACGGGAGGCAGCAGUGGGGAAUAUUGGACAAUGGGCGCAAGCCUGAUCCAGCCAUACCGCGUGGGUGAAGAAGGCCUUCGGGUUGUAAAGCCCUUUUGUUGGGAAAGAAAAGCAGCAGGUUAAUACCCCGCUGUUCUGACGGUACCCAAAGAAUAAGCACCGGCUAACUUCGUG
rnacentral:rRNA from 1 species